UGGCAAUGAGGACAACCUCCAUUAAAAUGAUUCUGUGUAUGAAUUACAAACUAUACGCUAUUCUGAGCCAACG